ensembl:lncRNA
UGCACAUACAGCCUUUUCAAUGAAGAAGUAAAAGUCAUUGUUUGUAAAUUUGUCAACAGAAUCGCAGUAUCAAAGCAGUGAGACUCAAGACAACCAUGAUAUUAAAGCUACACCAUCAGAGCAGAGGAGCAGUGAGCAGACAGAACCAGAGGAACAGUCAGACGAGCAUCACAAAGACCAGGAUGAGGAGAAGAAAAAGGAAGAGGCUGGUUCUUCAGAACAAACAGUUUCACAGUCACAGUCUUCACAAACUGGGUCAGCUGAAUCUGAGGACAAAAAUGGUGAAAAGAAUCCAGAGGGAAACCCAGACCAAGGUAGUGGGACCUCACAUGAUAAAAAAACAGAAAAAGAUGAAACAUCACCUUCUGAAAAUGAACCAUCAGAAACUUCUGAAACCAGUGAAACUCCAGAACCAGGCGAGGACCAAACUCCACCCUCUGAGUCCAGUGAUGAAGAGGACAAAGGUCAUGACAAGACCAACACAGAGAAACAGACACAAGACUCACCCAGGAAGUCAUCUGAAAAUAAUGGAGAGAAAACAGUCACUGAAAACACAGGGUCAAAUGAGCAGCCAGAUGAAUCUCUACACCCAACAGCCUCAUCUGGAACCUCUGAUGUUGGUAAAGAAAAUAAGAACACUAGUGGUGAGGGCACAAAGGAUGACAAAAAGGAGAUGAAAGAAAAGGCUGCAUCUGACUCUGAGCAAAGCAAUGGAGCAGAAGGUAGAUGAUGAAAACAGUAAAGCCUGAUUGGGCUGAUGCUGAGCACUGAGGAAGUCAAAUGUGGAACAAAAGAGACAUGGUACUGCAUCCUGCUUCUGAAGAGUAAGGACACUAUCCUUGUUUCCUCCUGCUGCUUGCUUCUUUACUUUGCUUGUUCAUCAUUUUACCUCUUCCAGAGCUGCAAAUCUGUCUACUUAAGAUUUUCUUUUAAUUCAAUUAAAACGAUUAAACCAUUUUUACAUUUUUAACAACUUAUCUGAUGAGCCAGCGAGAUGUCCGGAAACCAAGGGAAGUUUUUUCUGUGAACACUGCUGGAACUAUCAACAAGAAAUUAAUUACAAAAAGGACUUGAAAAAGGACUGAAAAUGGACCUCACCGGAUGCUACCCGUGACUUCCAGUGGUAAGAAGCCCACAGUUACUUCCAGAGAAGAGGGUGAAAAAACUACUACUUUCAACUUAAACCUGGGUGAUGCUGUAUCUUUUCCACAGCUUUUUAAAGAUCAAAAUGCUAAGCUAACGUAGCAAGUGAUAAAAGACAAUGCUAAUAUAACAUCACCCAAAUUACAUCUUGCAGACUUUUACUUCUGUCACAGACUAAUGUUAACAUACAAACAGAAAAUUUAUUUUGAUCAUAAAACAAGAGCAAUGAAGUUGGCAAAGGAGCACAGGCAGACAGGCGAUCUGUGCCAAACGUCCAGGUCAGAGAUAUACUGCUGCUCGGAGACGCUGCUAUUGGAGGUGUGGACCAUAGAGGAAUCUAAAAAUGCAGCUACUGUUUUCCAGUUACACUGUGUCAACACCUCCAACUCUCCCAGCGAAGAAUUCAUCACCAGCAUCAGUAGAGAUUUCAGAUCCAGCAGCACCCUCAUCACCUCCCCUGCCCACAGACCUGUCCUCGAUCGCCUUCGCUACAUCUACUCCAUCUAAGGACCAAUCAUCUAGAAAGGCUCAACAGAUCAGGAAUUAAGAUGGCUCCCCUCACACCUAAAACAGCACGAUCAAGAGGCCCAACAUCAACUAUGCUGACCUUUUCCCCGUACAAAACUGUGCCUGUUUCACUACCAAAGGCCCUCCCAGCUACAUCCCCUCGUCUUUCACCCCAGUUACCCCCGCUCUUCCUUCUUGCAGUUGCAGGUCUAGUGGAUUCAUCAUUUGAGGACAUUUCCUUUAAAAUGAAGUUAAAACAAUCACCCAUAAUACAUAAUACUACUUACUCAUAUACAAACCUCCCCAUCAAUGUCAAAGUUUCAUUGAUAAUUUUACUGAGAUGUUUUGUCAUAUGGUUUAAUUAUUACAGUUGAUUUGAUUGAAUAUGUGGAUAAUGUGCUCAGAGCUCAGUGUUUGUCCUUUGAUCUGACUCAGCAUGUCAGUGAGUCCACCCUCAUCAGAAAGCACACCCUGGACCUGCUUAUUACAAAAGGAGUAAAUAUUUCAAAUGUUAAUGUGGUAAAUGUUACUUUGUCUGAUCAUUUUUUUUAGGUCUUCUUUGACAUGUCUGUUAUUCCCCAAACAGUGUCUGGUCCUACAGUUGUUUGAUGGAGACACAUAAAUGAUAACACUGGUCCACUGUUCAUGGAAAUGAUACACUUUGAAAAUGCC